CACUAGUAAACUACAAAUCAGAAAGCUCAUAUAUAAAGUUCUGUUCCACUCUCCUACCAACCUCCCUUGUUCCACCACUUCUUUAAAAUCAUGAUAACAAACUUCACGAAUUACUGGGAAUAGAACCCUGCAAAUAUGCUACUCCUUCCCGUGCUUUCACUCUCUUCCUUUCCCUCUCUUGUUCCUAACCACUCUCUCCGAUUUCAAUCUCGUUGGAACCGAUGUGCUUCUCGCCGCGCCAUAAGAUGUGCCGCUGCGUCCUCAGGAGGCGACGGCGAUGCGUUCACGGCGAAGUCUGGGUACCUGUUUGAAUUGAGCGUGACGGAGGCGGAUUCUCUGGCUGAGUACCGAAUAUCUAAAAUCGCGGCUAUUUAUUCGAGGAAGCCUCUGCUCGUGGCUCGUCGGUUGGUUCAGACCGGAAUAGCGUUCGGCAAGUGGUUCGGUCUUCGCUACUUCGACUCUCUAUUGGACCGCUCCGAGUCGAUGUUUCAGGUUAGAGCUGCAGAGCUAAGAAAGAUAUUGGUGGAGCUUGGGCCGGCAUAUAUCAAAAUUGCCCAGGCUAUAUCAUCUCGUGCUGAUUUGAUACCACCAUCAUACCUAGAUGAGCUUUCACUACUACAAGAUCGAAUAAGUCCAUUUUCCACUGAAGUUGCUUUCAAUAUGAUAGAACAAGAACUGGGUUUAUCUUUGGUUGAACUUUUCUCAGAGAUUUCACCCGAGCCUGUUGCUGCUGCAUCCCUUGGGCAGGUUUAUCAAGCUAGGCUUCGCAAAACAGGACAGAUUGUUGCCGUUAAGGUGCAAAGACCUGGAGUUCAAGCCGCAAUUUCCCUUGACAUAUUAAUCUUGCGUUUUAUGGCAGGAUUGAUUAGGAGAGCUGGCAAACUUAAUACUGAUCUUCAGGCAGUUGUUGAUGAGUGGGCAUCAAGUCUUUUCCGGGAAUUUAUAUGGUUCAAUACCAGAUGUGGUGGUUCCUUUAAUGUACAUGAAGUACACAACUCGCAAGGUCCUUGUUAUGGAAUGGAUUGAGGGGGAAAAGUUGUCUGAAGUGAAGGAUCUCUACCUGAUUGAGGUUGGAGUUUACUGCUCAUUCAAUCAACUUCUUGAGUGUGGGUUCUAUCAUGCAGAUCCGCACCCUGGAAAUCUUCUUCGAACAUAUGAUGGAAAAUUAGCUUAUUUGGGUAAUUGAAGAUAAAAAAUUUGAGAUUUAAAUUUCCAAAUCAUUUUUGUUCUCAUAUGCAUAUAAUAUCUCAUUCCUUCUUAUCUCAUUCCAAAUCACUAAAAUGACUUUUGUACGCUUGAUCUUAUCCAUGGCUACCAUCCACCACUAGAUCCUUCAUCAACUUGACAUCAAGAAUGCAUUCCUUCACAUUGACCUUGCUGAGGAAGUUUAUAGAGAGCAACCUCCUGGUUUGUUGCUCAGCAGGAGUCUUCAGGAUUAGUUUGUUGUCUUCAGAAAUCCUUGUAUGGUCUUAAACAGUCUCAAAGAGCUUGGUUUAGUAGAUUCAGCAUUGUUGUCCAAAUGAAUUUUGUCGUCUUUCGAAAUUCUUAUAUGGUCUUAAACAAAUGAAUUUUCACAAAUUUUUGUAGGCUACACACUACUCUUUCUCCUGAUUUGCUUAUCAUGUGUUUCACUAGUUUAGAAAGAAUUGAACACCUGAUCUUACCCAUUAAGGUGACUUUUUUAUGGAGCAAUUAUUUGGGAUUUUUGGUGAACAUUGGGUAUAUUUGGACUUUGGACUUUGGAGGACCAAUUACUUGGACAAGGCUUUGGCAAGGAGGCAAAAUUUUUGUUGCAAAUUGCCUAAUUUAAAUUUAUGCAGUCAUUUGGUGUAUGUUUGGAGCAGAAUGCUCACAUUUUUCAGGUUGUUUCUCUUACCCUCUAACUUGUUGUGGAUUAAGAUUUUGUCUAUAUGACCCCACGAAGAUUUUGUGAAGAUGGAAGCUAGUUGAUCCUUUGAAGGGACAGAAAUAGUCUUGAUGACCAGAGAAUCAUUCCUAUGAUGAAAGAGCAACCAACUUCUAUAUUCUUAGUCCUUGCAUGAAAAACUGAAUUUGAGAAAAGGUGCAAGGUUGAUUGAUCGUCACACACUAGUCAUUAGUGUUAAUCCUAUUAAUAAUAUCUGUCCUGACAAAAGAUUUGACCUUACGGGAUGGAUCUUUGCACCUCCAUAUGGAUUGGUCCAAUAUAAACUGUUCAGAGAAGAGCGAAUGAGAGUCACAGACAGUGAAAUCAGUGCAUCUAAACUGCAUAGUGGAGCUGAACUAUAUAAGCAAUAAAUAAUAAAUACCUAUAUUAGUUAUCCUAAUUUCCAUAAUUUUGGCCAAUAUGGCAAGUUUGUUCUAUUUUAGUGUUUACUGUUAUGUAUACUGAUGGACUUCAGAAGAUAUAUUUGUGUAUACUGUAUAGACACAAAUAGGAUGUUAUCUUUCAAUUUCUUUUCUCUUGUACCAGAUUUUGGUAUGACAGGUGAAUUCAAACAAGAGUUGCGGGAUGGAUUCAUCCAAGCUUGUCUACAUCUUGUAAAUCGUGAUUUUGAUGCCUUAGCUAAGGACUUUGUUACUCUUGGGCUUCUUCCACCAACUGCAGACAGAGAAGCUGUUACAAAGGCUUUGACAGGUGUCUUCCAAAAUGCUGUUGCCAAAGGAGUUCGUAAUAUAAGCUUUGGAGAUCUUCUAGGAAACUUAGGAACAACCAUGUAUAAAUUCAAAUUUAGGAUACCUUCAUACUUCUCACUUGUCAUUCGAAGCCUUGCUGUACUGGAAGGAAUUGCAAUCAGCUUUAACCCUGAGUACAAAGUUUUGGGUAGUACUUACCCUUGGAUUGCUCGAAAAGUACUUACGGAUAGCUCUCCUCAGCUUAAAUCUUCUUUAGAGACUCUUCUUUAUGAGGAUGGUGUUUUCAGAAUAGACCGUCUAGAGUCUUUGCUGAGAGAGAAAAGCCUUUGGUAAAACAACAAACUGAAGGCACUGAUUCAAGGAUAGUUGUGAAGGAAAUUCUUACUUUUACACUAACAGAUAAGGGUGAAUUUGUGAGGGAAAUACUUGUUCAAGAAUUUGCUAAAGGUUUAGAUGCACUUGGGCUAGCAACAUUGGAGACAGCUGCUGCAAGAGUUCCUUUCAGUGCUUUCUGCUUUUCCUCUUUAAUGACUGAAGAGGAUAUAAUCAACUUGAGAACCUUCCAACGCCUUAUGCUAUUGCUAUUAGGGACCAGAAGAAAAGAAGACUACGAUAAUGGAAGCAGACAGGUCAGUCCUUACAGGAAUCAAAUACUGUACCCGGAGGAGCUGACGUCAGUUUUGAAUCAAGUUGAAUCUAUUCAAGACAUUCUUCCUGUUCUUUCUAUCAUUCCUGAGCUCCCACAAGAAUCCCAGCAGCAAUUAGUUGAAUUGCCAGCUAGAAUGGUUAGACAGUUAAUAUCCCGGGCUGCUGCAAGAACUAUAAGGAGGGUGUUUUUGUGAUUUGCAUGUACAGAAGCAGCUGAAAUCUGUUUAUGCUUCUCAUCAAGUGACCAGAGAACAUUUUCAAAAAAUAGGACUUAUUACGAGGCCUUCAAUCUGCGUAAUGUAAGCUUGAAUACAUUUUUUAUUCCACAAUAAUUUUUUUGUUUUCAAUUUAAUCUAUUCUUAAUUUUAUUUUUAUUGUAAGUAUUUGCUGAAGGUAACUUAGAUUCUUUCCAUAAACCUCAAAUUAUAAUGUAGACCCAAUGCAUCAGUACCCAUCACCCACACAUUCUUUUGUGUUCAACAAUCAUCCCAAUGCAUACUUUAUUUCUUC